rnacentral:rRNA from 1 species
AUUGAACGCUGGCGGCAGGCCUAACACAUGCAAGUCGAACGAGUGGCGGACGGGUGAGUAAUGUCUGGGAAACUGCCUGAUGGAGGGGGAUAACUACGGGAAACGGUAGCUAAUACCGCAUACCCUAGGAUGUGCCCAGAUGGGAUUAGCUGGUUGGUGGGGUAAGGGCUCACCAAGGCGACGAUCCCUAGCUGGUCUGAGAGGAUGACACGCCACACUGGAACUGAGACACGGUCCAGACUCCUACGGGAGGCAGCAGUGGGGAAUAUUGCACAAUGGGCGCAAGCCUGAUGCAGCCAUGCCGCGUGAAUGAAGAAGGCCUUCGGGUUGUAAAGGACUUUCAGCGGGGAGGCGUUACCCGCAGAAGAAGCACCGGCUAACUCCGUGCCAGCAGCCGCGGUAAUUC